UACGUAGGUGGCAAGCGUUGUUCGGAAUUAUUGGGCGUAAAGGGCGCGUAGGCGGUUUGUUAAGUCAGCUGUGAAAGCCCGGGGCUCAACCCCGGAGGGUCAGCUGAUACUGGCAGACUAGAGUACAGAAGAGGUAACUGGAAUUCCCGGUGUAGUGGUGAAAUGCGUAGAUAUCGGGAGGAACACCAGUGGCGAAGGCGACUUCCUGGCCUGUUCUUGACGCUGAGGCGCGAAAGCUAGGGUAGCAAACGGG
rnacentral:rRNA from 1 species